GUAUUGAAGGUGACGCCUGCCCAGUGACAGCACGUUAAACGGCCGCGGUAUCCUAACCGUGCAAAGGUAGCGCAAUCAAUUGUCUCAUAAAUCGGGACUUGUAUGAAUGGCUUAACGAGGUCUUAACUGUCUCCUAUAGAUAAUCAGUGAAAUUGAUCUCCCUGUGCAAAAGCAGGAAUAACCCCAUAAGACGAGAAGACCCUGUGGAACUUAAAAAUCAGCAGCCACUCCUAUACAAAAUUCCUUCCUACUGGACAUUCCUGCAUCCGGGACUAUAUUGGCAUGCAUUUUUCGGUUGGGGCGACCUUGGAGUACAAUAAACCCUCCAAAAACAAGACCAUCAAUCUUAACCAAGAACAACCAAUCAACGUACUAACAGUAACCAGACCCAAUAUAAUUGAUUAAUGGACCAAGCUACCCCAGGGAUAACAGCGCAAUCUCCUCCAAGAGCUCCCAUCGACGAGGAGGUUUACGACCUCGAUGUUGGAUCAGGACAUCCUAGUGGUGUAGCCGCUACUAAGGGUUCGUUUGUUCAACGAUUAAUAGUCCUACGUGAUCUGAGUUCAGACCGGCCUGUGUGA
rnacentral:rRNA from 1 species